rnacentral:rRNA from 1 species
UACGUAGGUGGCAAGCGUUGUCCGGAUUUACUGGGCGUAAAGGGCGCGUAGGCGGUCAGCACAAGUCAGUUGUGAAAUCUCCGAGCUUAACUCGGAAAGGUCAACUGAUACUGUGCGACUAGAGUGCGGAAGGGGCAACUGGAAUUCUUGGUGUAGCGGUGAAAUGCGUAGAUAUCAAGAGGAACACCUGCGGCGAAAGCGGGCCGCUGGCCCUCUUCUGACGCUGAUGCGCGAAAGCCAGGGGAGCGAACGGG